rnacentral:tRNA from 1 species
GGGUAGGUAGCCUAGAGGCGAGGGCAUCUGACUGUAAAUCAGAUACAAAGAAACAUCGUUGGUUCGAGUCCAACCCUGCCCA